rfam:Smittium mucronatum strain ALG-7-W6 scaffold-8650, whole genome shotgun sequence.
GUCAGUAUGUCCGAGUGGUUAAGGAGAUAGACUUGAAAUCUAUUGGGCUCUGCCCGCACAGGUUCAAAUCCUGUUGCUGACG